rnacentral:rRNA from 1 species
UACGGAGGGUGCGAGCGUUGUCCGGAAUCACUGGGCGUAAAGGGCGCGUAGGUGGCACGGUUAGCGUGUGGUGAAAGCCUGGGGCUCAACCCCGGGUCGGCCAUGCGAACUGCCGGGCUCGAGCACUGUAGAGGCAGACGGAAUUCCGGGUGUAGCGGUGGAAUGCGUAGAGAUCCGGAAGAACACCGGUGGCGAAGGCGGUCUGCUGGGCAGUUGCUGACACUGAGGCGCGACAGCGUGGGGAGCAAACAGG